rnacentral:rRNA from 1 species
AGCCUGAUCCAGCCAUACCGCGUGGGUGAAGAAGGCCUUCGGGUUGUAAAGCCCUUUUGUGGGGAAAGAAAUCCAGCCGGCUAAUACCUGGUUGGGAUGACGGUACCCAAAGAAUAAGCACCGGCUAACUUCGUGCCAGCAGCCGCGGUAAUACGAAGGGUGCAAGCGUUACUCGGAAUUACUGGGCGUAAAGCGUGCGUAGGUGGUCGUUUAAGUCUGUUGUGAAAGCCCUGGGCUCAACCUGGGAACUGCAGUGGAAACUGGACGACUAGAGUGUGGUAGAGGGUAGCGGAAUUCCUGGUGUAGCAGUGAAAUGCGUAGAGAUCAGGAGGAACAUCCAUGGCGAAGGCAGCUACCUGGACCAACACUGACACUGAGGCACGAAAGCGUGGGGAGCAAACAGGAUUAGAUACCCUGGUAGUCCACGCCCUAAACGAUGCGAACUGGAUGUUGGGUGCAAUUUGGCACGCAGUAUCGAAGCUAACGCGUUAAGUUCGCCGCCUGGGGAGUAC